GAUGAACGCUGGCGGCGUGCCUAAUACAUGCAAGUCGAGCGAACAGACGCGGAGCUUGCUCCUCUGACGUUAGCGGCGGACGGGUGAGUAACACGUGGAUAACCUACCUAUAAGACUGGGAUAACCUCGGGACACCGGAGCUAAUACCGGAGAAUAUCUUGAACCGUAUGGUUCAAUAGUGAAAGACGGUUUUGCUGUAACUUCUCGAUGGAUCCGCGCCGCAUUAGCUAGUUGGUAAGGUAACGGCUUACCAAGGCGACGAUGCGUAGCCGACCUGAGAGGGUGAUCGGCCACACGAGAGCUGAGACACGGUCCAGAGUCCUACGAGAGGCAGCAGUAGGCAAUGUUCCGCAGUGGGCGAAAGCCUGACGGAGCAACGCCGCGUGAGUGAUGAAGGUCUUCGGAGCGUAAUACUCUGUUAUUAGGGAAGAACAAAUGUGUAAGGAACUAUGCACGGCUUGACGGUACCGAGUCAGAAAGCCACGGCUAACUACGUG
rnacentral:rRNA from 1 species